rnacentral:hammerhead_ribozyme from 1 species
GCACUGCUGAGGAGUCCUAUACUAGGGCGAAACGGCUGUCCAGUGC